rnacentral:rRNA from 1 species
UAGGGAAUCUUCGGCAAUGGACGAAAGUCUGACCGAGCAACGCCGCGUGAGUGAAGAAGGUUUUCGGAUCGUAAAACUCUGUUGUUAGAGAAGAACAAGGACGUUAGUAACUGAACGUCCCCUGACGGUAUCUAACCAGAAAGCCACGGCUAACUACGUGCCAGCAGCCGCGGUAAUACGUAGGUGGCAAGCGUUGUCCGGAUUUAUUGGGCGUAAAGCGAGCGCAGGCGGUUUCUUAAGUCUGAUGUGAAAGCCCCCGGCUCAACCGGGGAGGGUCAUUGGAAACUGGGAGACUUGAGUGCAGAAGAGGAGAGUGGAAUUCCAUGUGUAGCGGUGAAAUGCGUAGAUAUAUGGAGGAACACCAGUGGCGAAGGCGGCUCUCUGGUCUGUAACUGACGCUGAGGCUCGAAAGCGUGGGGAGCAAACAGGAUUAGAUACCCUGGUAGUCCACGCCGUAAACGAUGAGUGCUAAGUGUUGGAGGGUUUCCGCCCUUCAGUGCUGCAGCAAACGCAUUAAGCACUCCGCCUGGGGAGUACGACCGCAAGGUUG